UCUGGGGUUGCCUACCAGUAAGCCUGUCACAGAAGCUGUGUCUGGGCCCCUAAGCCUGUCAUGGCAGCUGUGUGGUCACGCUGUUUGGGGCCCCUCCACAGAAACAAGUGAACUUUAAACUCUACCCCCACCCCCACAACAUACAGUGACAUACUUCUAACAGCAAAGCCAUCUAUCCCGCGCCUCCUCAGCUACCAACUGAGCAACAAGGAUUAACUGCACGGCCACGGGGGACAUCUCAUUCAAGCCUCCGCAGGGAAGCGCUGGGAGGGGUGAGGGACCUCCAGGGGGUGGAGUUUUGCCAGGGAAAUACAUCACUGGAGGUGGACUUUGAGAGUGGGUAGCCCUGCCCUGUUGAGAUAUUUUGUUUGUGUUCUAACAAAGUCUGCCUGAGGAGCAGAGGAUGGAGCUAGCCACUAGUUUACCAUUGAGGUCUGGAGGUCUGUACAGACAGGAGACAGGAAGUGAUAUGGCUGGGUGGAGAGAGGAAGUGAUAAGGCGGGUUGGAGUCGCAAGCUCCGCCCCUUUUCCGUCUGAGGAGUCGGAGAGCAAGGCCUUACUGCUGGACAACACCUACAAGACCCAUUGAACAUGGAGAAGUUGAGCUGGUGCUUACCUAGAGCCUUCACCCUUAUGGACUAGUAUUCAUGGUCCUGGAAGAUACUCUGCACCCUACCAAGGGACAAAGGAGGACAUGGCAGUGGCGGCAGCAGUGACAAGGAUGAAGUCUUAGCCUUGGUGUUAGAGGCAUCUCUUGGUACAGUCAACAUCCAAGGCCAACCAUCACAUGCAGGGUGGCACAAAAGACAUUAUACAGGC